GGCUCUGUAGUGAAGUUCAUGUUGAGUUGCAAGCUCAUCGAUGUGUAUAGGCCAUACACCGGAGUCU
rnacentral:tRNA from 1 species